rnacentral:rRNA from 1 species
UGGGGAAUAUUGCACAAUGGGCGCAAGCCUGAUGCAGCCAUGCCGCGUGUGUGAAGAAGGCCUUCGGGUUGUAAAGCACUUUCAGCGAGGAGGAAGGUGGUGAACUUAAUACGUUCAUCAAUUGACGUUACUCGCAGAAGAAGCACCGGCUAACUCCGUGCCAGCAGCCGCGGUAAUACGGAGGGUGCAAGCGUUAAUCGGAAUUACUGGGCGUAAAGCGCACGCAGGCGGUUUGUUAAGUCAGAUGUGAAAUCCCCGGGCUCAACCUGGAAACUGCAUUUGAAACUGGCAAGCUAGAGUCUCGUAGAGGGGGGUAGAAUUCCAGGUGUAGCGGUGAAAUGCGUAGAGAUCUGGAGGAAUACCGGUGGCGAAGGCGGCCCCCUGGACGAAGACUGACGCUCAGGUGCGAAAGGCGUGGGGAGCAAAACAGGAUUAGAUACCCUGGUAGUCCACGCUGUAAACGAUGUCGAUUUUGGAGGUUGUGCCCUUGAGGCGCGGCUUCCGGAGCUAACGCGUUAAAUCGACCGCCUGGGGAGUACGGCCGCAAGGUUAAAACUCAAA